GAUGAACGCUGGCGGCGUGCCUAAUACAUGCAAGUCGAGCGAACAGACGAGGAGCUUUCCCUUCUGACGAUACCGGCGGACGUGUUAGUAACACGUUGAUAACCUCCCUAUUAGACUGGGAUACCCUCGGGAAACGCCAGCUAAUACCGGGAAUUAUAUUCAAUCACAUCGUUCAAUAGUGAAAGACGGUUUUGAUAUCACUUAUAGAUGGAUCUGCGCGGCAUUCGCUAGUUGGAAAGGUAACGGCUUACGAAGGCAACGAUGCGUAGCCGACCUGAGAGGGUGAUCGGAGACACUGGAACUGAGACGCGGACCAGACUCCUACGGGAGGGAGCAGGAGGGAAUCUUCCGCAAUGGGAGAAGGCCUGAAGGAGGAACGCCGCGUGAGUGAUGAAGGUCGUCGGAUCGUAAAACUCUGUUAUUAGGGAAGAAGAAAUGUGUAAGUAACUAUGCAGGUCUUGACGGUACCUAAUGAGAAAGCCACGGCUAACUACGUG
rnacentral:rRNA from 1 species